rnacentral:tRNA from 13 species
UGGGUCGGCCGGGAUUUGAACCCGGGACCUCUCGCUCCCUAAGCGCGAAACAUACCCCUAGACCACCGAACC